UAGGGGGCGAGCGUUAUCCGGAUUCACUGGGUGUAAAGGGAGCGUAGACGGCCGGGCAAGCCUGAUGUGAAAGGCGGGGGCGCAACCCUCGGACUGCAUUGGGAACUGUCCGGCUGGAGCGCCGGAGGGGUAAGCGGAAUUCCUGGUGUAGCGGUGAAAUGCGUAGAUAUCAGGAGGAACACCGGUGGCGAAGGCGGCUUACUGGACGGCGACUGACGUUGAGGCUCGAAAGCGUGGGGAGCGAA
rnacentral:rRNA from 1 species